GUCUUCAGAUAUAACCCCAAAGGUGCAGCACGCUGCCAAUUAUUCUUGCACAGAGCUCAAUUUCACCAGGACAGCUGUUCUGAAGGAUAAUACUAAAUCCAUGGAAGACUCCAAAAUGGAAAGCAUCGAAAAAGAAAAGCAUAUUGAACUGUUCAUUGUUGCUGAUAAUAAUGUGUAUCACAGGAAUCCUAACAGUAAAGUGAGGAAUCGAGUUUGGGGAAUGGUCAAUUUU